rnacentral:lncRNA from 1 species
GAUAAUCCCCAGAGAGAUUUAUUUCCUCACCUGUCCGUGAAAGGAAAGCUUGAUUCUCCCCAGUGUGGCUCCCGGCAGGUGUCUGCCUGGUUGUGACACAUGUGGAUGUCAUCCUUGCGAUACCGGUAGGUGUCAUGUCGACCCCUGUGAGGUCUAUUUUUUUGGUGUCGGUAAACAUCAUUUUUCGAUGUCGGUAAACAUCGAGUCGUUUGUUAACCAUCGGUAAAUG